GUUUCCAAUAAAGCAACUUUGAUCUUCAAUUUGUAAUUCCCUGGAGAAUACAUGACAAUUCCCAGUUUAGUAAGUACCCAUAAAGUCUGACACUCCCCAACUGGUUAGAGGGGAAAGGAUAAUUGAUGCAAGCUGUGAACACUGCUCAACUAGGUGACUCCCAUCAGUCUCUGCCAAGCAGGAACACGUAUUUUCCACUGCUACCAAGUUAUU